rnacentral:rRNA from 1 species
UGGGGAGUAUUGCGCCAUGGGGGAAACCCUGAAGCAGCGACGCCGCGUGGAGGACGACGCGCUUCGGGGUGUAAACUCCUUUCGACGGGGACGAACGCCCGCACGGCCCUGACGGUACCCGUAGAAGAAGCCCCGGCUAACUACGUGCCAGCAGCCGCGGUAAUACGUAGGGGGCAAGCGUUGCUCGGAAUUACCGGGCGUAAAGGGUCCGUAGGCGGUAGGGUAAGUCGACGGUGAAAUCUCCCGGCUUAACAGGGAGGGGCCCGCCGAAACUGCUCUACUCGAGGGCCGGAGAGGCGAGUGGAAUUGCCGGUGUAGCGGUGAAAUGCGUAGAUAUCGGCAGGAACACCGGAGGCGAAAGCGGCUCGCUGGACGGCUCCUGACGCUGAGGGACGAAAGCUAGGGGAGCAAACAGGAUUAGAUACCCGUGUAGUCC